rnacentral:lncRNA from 1 species
AGAGAAUUGGAUCAUUUUUAAACAGAUUAAAUAAACUUACAAUUUUUCAUACUUUUAUUUUGAGUAAUUUUAAUUUUUGCCCUUUGGCUUGGCAUUUUUGUACAGAGAAAAAUUCUAAAAAACUUGAAAAAAUACAAGAGAGAGCAUUAAGAUUUGUAUAUGACGACUACUUAUCAUCCUCUGAAACUCUUCUUGAGAACGCAAAGGUUCCAACCCUACAAGUAAGACGCAUCAGGACAAUGGCACUUGAGACUUAUAAAAUUUUAAAUAAUUUGGCUCCUGUAUGUUUACAAAAUUUACUCCAAAUUAAACACACUAAAUAUUCUUUUAGAUACAGUAAUAUUUUGGAAAUACCACAGGUAAGAACUACCUCAUAUGGAAAAAAAUCUUUUAGUUUUGCUGCUGCUUCUUUAUGGAAUAGCUUACCAGACCACUUCAGGACUGUUAACAGCUUCUCACAUUUUAAGAGUCUUGUUCAGUCCUGGAG